rnacentral:tRNA from 1 species
AAAGACAUAGUAUAAUUCUAAUACAUUUCACUUACACUGAAAAUAUACUUAAUAUAUAAGUUGUCUUUA